rnacentral:lncRNA from 13 species
CAAUUUGAACUCCUCCCUUCCUUUCAAAUGUACUAUCUUCUCACAUUUCCAUUUCCCCUAGACAAGACCAAGCUGGAGCUUUGCAUUGAGAAAGCCAGCGCUGACAGAAUGAAUAAGCUCCUCACCCCACUUGAGAAGGAACCCGAACCCUUCUGGAAGACGGGAUCGAUGGCAAUGAUGAAGGAGGAAAAUAAUAAAAAGAAGAAGGUGAAGAAGAAGGGUUGCGGCUGGUUCUGGGGUGGGUUUGGCCGUAAGAGAAAAACAGCGAAAGAAUUCCCACAGACUGUUGUUUUCGAGUCAACCACAAAGGACUGUGGAAAGCCUGUGCAAGAACAGACUCAGACGGAGACUGAGAGGAACAAACCAAAGGUGACAAACCUUGAUAUUGUUCCUGUUAUUCUUGUCAGGAAAGCCUUUGACUCUGUCUUCCCAGUUUCAUGUACAAUCAAGCAGCAAUACGGUUCAUGGGAAGAUGUUCCACUUUGCAAUGUUAUGGUAGAGCACAUACAUAUCCAGGUUCAGAAAGAGGCAUUGAAAUACCAAAACCAAAGACUGUUCUUACGCACUCUGAGGAAGCUCAACGAUGAGCCGGACAAGAUGGCCAAAUUCUUAGAAGACGUCUCACUCUCUAUCAGGAGCAAUUACCUCAGGACUUUCCAUGAGUGGCCAAUGGUUAAAGCCCAGCUAUACCCAGAAAUACAGCCUCUGCUGGUCUGCGAUAUCAUGGUCAGGGAGAUCAUGGUUCACCUGAGGCCUACCGUGACCUNNNNNNNNNNUUCACAAUUUCACAACAGAAUCCGAUGUAGAGUAAACGGCUACAUGUAACAGUCAACUAACCAGUUGGACAAUAACAACUUGAACUCCUCCCUUCCGUUCAAAUGUCCUAUCUUGUCACAUUUCCCUUUCCUGUAGAAAAGACCAAGCUGGAGCUUUGCAUUGAGAAAGCCAGCGCUGACAUAAUGAAGGAACUCCUCACCCCACUUGAGAAGGUAAGCUACACUGUUUUCUGUAUUGUCUCAUUGAUAAUAUCAGUCAAUUUGAAUGUUGUUUGUCCCGUACUGAGCUGGAGCUUCAGCAUUGAAAGGUUGCUGAUGGUGAUGGCUUCCUGAGGUUUGUAUCCACUACAGGAGGGGAGGAGGGCUAAUAAUUAUGUUUGGAAUGGAGUAACUGGAAUGGCAACAAACACAUGGAAACUUUGUGUUUGAUGUGUUCGAUACCAUUCCAUUAACACCAUUCCAGCCAUUACUAUGAGCCCGUCCUCCCCAAUUAAGGUGCCUGUAGUUUCCACUCACCAACUCUGUUUGUUCACAGGAACCCGAACCCUUCUGGAAGACGGGAUGGAUGGCAAUGAUGGAGGAGGAAAAUAAUAAAAAGAAGAAGAAGGGUUGCGGCUGGUUCUCGGGUUUGUUUGGCCGUAAGAAAAAAAACAGCGAAAGAAUUGUGGAUGGAGGAUUGUCGCAGGCGCGGAUACUAGAAAUCACAUCCACACAAACCAAGCGUAUGGACACACACACAUUUACACAGAGACAGAUAUAACAACAAGGCCUACCUCAGAUCCCAAACAGACAACAUAUGUUGCCUGUCUAAUACUAUGUCUUAUUUUCCAUUUUUCUCUGAACUUUUAUUUGAAAAAUAAACACUUUAUUUGAAGUAUUUUGUGUGACUUUGUUUUCUAAAGACGUGUCUUUUAUGACUUUAUUUCUGAUAUAUAUAUUUUACAUUCCAUAUAGAGGAGCCUGAUGCUCAAUGUAAC